rnacentral:misc_RNA from 1 species
CUGGGUUCUGGGCUUCUGCCCGCCACCCGCCCUCUGUCAUCGAUAACGAAAUGCUUCGGCCGACGGUUUCGCGAGCGCCUGGCGAGAGCCCGGUGCGGACGAGGCCGCGGUCGGUCUUCCAACCCUGAGUUGCAUGCGUGUCGUCUGAAUGCAAAAGAAAACGAAACCA